GCACCAACAAGAAGGCCUCAAGCAGUCCAUGGCUGCCUCAUUGAGCUGAGAAGAAAGCAGCUUCUUCUGAAAAGAAAGAUCAGAGGCUUUAAUGAGGCUGAGGAGAUGGGAACCUGUGGGCAGAGAACCAGAGAGGGAGGAGGUUAGACUCAGAAAGAACAUCAGGAGUUUCUGCGGAAUACUCUAAUGUGCUCGCUCAGAGUGAAACUCCCAGAAGCCAGGGAAAGGAUCAUCCUGAGGUUUCCACUAUGAGGACACCCCUGAGAUGCUCCAGUGGGAGAAACUGGAUGUACCAAAGGGCAGGAUAGCUGGAAGCCGGAGAUGAGAAAUAUAUGAAACACUGACUGUGAGCCGGGGAAGCUGUUGGGAGCUGAGGAUGGAGACAGAAGUUGUUAGAGGAGCAGAUCUGAGUCCGAGGGUGCCACUCUGCAGCUCUGGCCUCAGAGCCUGGAGGCACUCGGAAUCUGUGGAGGAAUUCCAGAGAAGGUGGAGGAAUGUGGGAGAAAGUUCCAAAGAAGGAUGUGAAAAAGCAAAGAAGACAGGCUCCAGGAGAAGAAAAAAGAAAGAGAGAAAGAAAGAAACUUCUCGUUGUCAGAAUCGGAAUGCAUAUCAGUUAUGCUGGAGACAAUGAAAACAUCAAAAAGCACAUACAAGCCAUAAAAAAUUCAGGUCCUCUGAAGCAAUGUGGGACACGCUUGGUUGCGCUCCUCAUUUGCAUGUCAGUACCCACAAUGCUCUGCUGGCUCCCAGAUCUUUCUGAGCAGCCCCAGUGUCUGAGCUCUAGGGAACAAAGUGAAAGAGCUGGUGAAGGCACGCUGUGCAGCCUUUAGAAGCCCUGACUGAUGGGGUUGCUACACCACUUGCCUGGAAUUGGAGAUUUGGGGUCAGCCUGUGUCUUCUGAUGCUGGCCCGCAUUCCAAGACGUGUUGGCCUCUUCAGCAUUUGGGCUCCUGAGGACGGUCCCUGCUUGGUCAACGUGAAAACGUAGAGGUGUGACCCUGACCUGCUGCUGGGGACCCAAGGGGAACACGCUGACUUCACUCUUUCCUCCCAAGCACAACACUUUUCUCUGCAAACGUCGCUCCCCUGGACCCCCGCAGAGCCAUGGUCUGCACAUUCCAAAUCCCAGGGGGGCAGAUAGGAAUACAGGGCCCAAAUUAGAAGUCCUUGGAGGCAGGGACAUACAUUUGGUCCCUGACUUGGUGUCCCCAGCCUCCUGGGUGGUCUUGGGGGUGUUACUUGCUCCCUACCAUUCCUCCGUUCCUUCCCAAGCCUGUCCUGUGCUGGGAGGAUCUACAGAGCUUGGGUGGCUAUCACAUCUGCGAUUUUAACAUGGCCAGCCAUUCUGGGACAUGACAAAAUAUGUAAAAAAUAAAAGUAAAGCUCGAUCUUUGAGGCUCCUACCU
rnacentral:lncRNA from 12 species